rnacentral:rRNA from 2 species
CUCUGGUAUUGAUUGGUGCUUGCAUCAUGAUUUACAUUUGAGUGAGUGGCGAACUGGUGAGUAACACGUGGGAAACCUGCCCAGAAGCGGGGGAUAACACCUGGAAACAGAUGCUAAUACCGCAUAACAACUUGGACCGCAUGGUCCGAGUUUGAAAGAUGGCUUCGGCUAUCACUUUUGGAUGGUCCCGCGGCGUAUUAGCUAGAUGGUGGGGUAACGGCUCACCAUGGCAAUGAUACGUAGCCGACCUGAGAGGGUAAUCGGCCACAUUGGGACUGAGACACGGCCCAAACUCCUACGGGAGGCAGCAGUAGGGAAUCUUCCACAAUGGACGAAAGUCUGAUGGAGCAACGCCGCGUGAGUGAAGAAGGGUUUCGGCUCGUAAAACUCUGUUGUUAAAGAAGAACAUAUCUGAGAGUAACUGUUCAGGUAUUGACGGUAUUUAACCAGAAAGCCACGGCUAACUACGUGCCAGCAGCCGCGGUAAUACGUAGGUGGCAAGCGUUGUCCGGAUUUAUUGGGCGUAAAGCGAGCGCAGGCGGUUUUUUAAGUCUGAUGUGAAAGCCUUCGGCUCAACCGAAGAAGUGCAUCGGAAACUGGGAAACUUGAGUGCAGAAGAGGACAGUGGAACUCC